AAGAACAAGAACGGUGCCACAUCCGGUUCAACGAGCAAGUUCUUCCGCUGACUACAAGCCCGGCUCUCAAUCGAAGAGUCGACUGGGCCAAAGGUGCAGCCGACAGACUCGGAGGACAUGCUGAAGGGAGCCCAACCUGCAUUUGAACACAUAACAGACAAUCACAAAGCAGAGGAAAAAGUUGCAAGUUGGAUGGCAGUCUGCUCGUCGCUAGGUGGCGAAGUGGUCGGCUCGUGAGUAGAACGUCGGACAAGUGCGCCGACCUGAGAAGAAAGACAUCCGAAUCUGAUCAUGUUGACUGCUGCCUGAAGAGGACAAAAAAAAAAAGUCUUCAACACUGCGGAAAACAUGCUUGUUGGAAUGAAUUGAGCCUUCUUACUGGAAUCUUCUGCCGCAACACUUGGUCCAGCAUGAUCAGCACCAACAGGCCAAGCCGCUACUGGUCCAGUGACUCAUCCAAGGUGGUCAAACCUGCCAAUGUCACAAACAAGGCUCGUCAACCCCUUUUUGUACAUUUGAACAGUAACGUUGAAAAUGGAGGCAGCGGUGAGGACCUGCUACAAGCUUG